rnacentral:tmRNA from 5 species
GGGGAUGAAAGGCUUCGACAGCGUGAUACUGGAUGCGUUAUGUCUCUGUCUGGGAUGGCAACGGUUCCCACUACCCACUGUUGCAAACGACAACUGCCAAAAACAGUGUCAUGGCAAAGGCUCUCGAGACGAUGGAUGUCUUUAACCGGACUCCUGCUCUCGUGCCGGCAUUUGCCUAAGUUCGCACUUUCUGCGGACACGUCACUCCUCUGAUUCUCGCUACGGGGAUGUGACGCCAUCAGCGAGGUGGAUUCCUGCGUGAUGUGACAGGAAUCGACAUACAGCAUCGACCCUCCCUGCCAUUCUUCGUCCGCUUCUUAUGGCAUGGUGAUUCGAAACGGACAUGACAGUACGGAUACCGCGUUCACACGUUGGACCCGGGUUCAAUUCCCGGCAUCUCCACCA